GCUUUUGUUCUGCUCUGACAGAUAAUGAUGACAGAAUUGCACUCAAGCAGAUGGCUCGAUUCUGAAUAUAUCAAAGGAACAAUUUUCCUGAUAAAAAGACCUGAGAGGAAUUAAUCCCAUCUUAGGUCAUCAAGAAAAGAGCACUGGAUGGAUGGCCCAACCUCAUGACGAAGCGUUAAAAAUCAGCUGAGAAUUAGGCAGAGACAUCUAAUGCGGUAAUAGUUUUCACAAUAAGCAAAUUCUGGCAUUACAACAGGAAAUUCAGUUUUCCAAUGACAAAGAGCUGCAGACCAUUAAGAUAUGAGAGACAACUUCCGAAGAAGCUACUCCAAAGUUGGAUAACUUGACUGGAUUCCCCAGGCCAAAGGGGCAUUUCCAGUGAUCUUCAGUAGAAUGAUCCUAAUCAUGAUGAAGGAAUCGGCAUCGUUAACUUAUGUUGAUGAUGAUAUCAGGAUAGACUUGGUGCUAUUGAUGAAGGCAAUGAAAGAGAAGGCUGGAAGGGGCACCACUACCACAUCUGACUAGCAUACAAGAAUCUCAUCUGUAUUACUGCCAAGUUCCCAUAUGAGUUUCUCUUUCAGAGAAGUGCUAAUAUAUUAAAUUUUUACACUGGUUUCCCAUUAACUUCAUCAAUAAGAGAAAGCCAAUCUUUAACGAUGAUUUCAUUGCAUGACCUAGUCCUGUUUUUUCACCAAUGAUUGUCACUUAUUGGAGGCUCUGUAUAAUAAGACUAAGCUCAACAUGCUGUUUGACUGACAAGUUAUAUAGAAGAGGAGUUUGAUCCCUGACACUCAAAGGAACAAGAGCAUGGAAAGACUGCGGUUUGUAAUCACCAAAACUCGUGCUUAAGGCUCAGCUCUUUCACCACUCAUUGGCCUGGAGAGCCACUCCGGAGCUCGGUUUACUCACUUGUGAGAUCUGGAAAUUAUACCCAUCUUUCAGGCUGGUUGUGAUGAUUAAGUGAAACCACCACUGUAAUGUGUUCUGUUCUAUGCCUGGCACAUCAUGAUUCACUCUAAAUGUCACCCUCCUCCUUUUCUCUAGAGGGUUUACUUUCCAUGAAUUUAAGGAAGAAAAUAGAUGCAGAAAAAUGGAAAACAAAACACUGAAACAUCUUAAUUUUAAUUAUUAAAGCUAUAAAAUAAUUUAUAUAUAGAUAGAAAACAAGAAAAUCAAAACACGAGGAUUAUGCCAAUGUAUCAGAACAAUGAUUUUCAGAAAGACUGAAGUUCUUUGUAAAAGCAUUGAAAUUAUACCUUAUAUUUGAAAACCCAAUAAGAAAUCAGAUUAUUGCUUUAAAGUACAAGUUCAUAAUAUUCUUCAUAAGAAUUGAAUAAGUGUGUGUGUGUGUGUGUGUGCGUGUGUGUGUGUGUCCAUGCACGCAUGCGGUUUGGUUCAGAGAUUCAAGAUGGCAGUCAACUUCUGAGCCAAGUGUCAGGCCAUAUUUAAAUGGAACUACUGUCCAAUACUGUGUUGAACCAAACAGAUUUCAUGAUGGUUGCUCUAGUACAAACCUCUAAUUUAUUCCUUUUUUCUUCUUUUUUUUAAAUUAAUUUUAAGGACUGCUUCUUUGGUGUAUGGUUGAUGUCCUCUUGACAAACAGAAUGUGGGGAAUAUUGGCCUGAUAUUCUGCUCUGAUGUUAUUUUGGGAACACAAAUAGACACCACCCUCAACUUAGUGCCUAAUAACUCUCCAGUAGCAUAAGUAUUUUCCAAAGAGUGAUUAUGUAUGUACAUAUGUGUAUACCUAUAUACAAGCCACACUAAUAAAAAACCCAAUAUGCAUAUAAAGUAAUAAUACACAUAUAUCUAUGUCAUAGGUUCAGACAUAGAUCUCCAUAUGUUAUUAUUAUUUUUUAUUAGUGCCACUUGACAUGUAAGGAAGCUGGAAAUCUCAGAACAUCAGUGUAUUGGCAAAGAUCACACAACCGAACUAACUCAUGAUAUUUUCAUACACUGUUCUGCUUUGGAUCUCUUUGAAAGAUGAUAACCUGCUGGCUGCCAUUCAGUUUCAGCUCAGUUUAUUCUAUGACAGUUGUCUGUAACAGGCAUGGUUUAAUAAAUCAUAGAUUUAUUCACAUGUAGUUGUAAUAGCUUAAAAAAUAAUGCAACGUUUCCAAUUUGAUUAGCACCAAUGAGAUUACAGCCUGUGAAUAAAGUAAAUAUACUUACAUUUCCUUAUGCAUCAAUUGUCUAUCUUAACUUUAAGAAGCAGACAUAACCAAAGUCCCUGUACCUAUAGGUAGAACUGUACUAAAUUCCUAACCCAUUUGGAACUAAACCUGGCUAUAUAGCAUCAUUUUAAUGCAAACGUCAAUCACAAGGUAAUGUAACACCACCCCUUGUGUUGAGUUCCUACUGUGUGAGACAAGUAUUAGAAACUUACAUCAAUCACCUUUAACUCACAGUAAAUAACUGUAAGGGAGGAAAUGCAGUCUCUCUGUAAAUUCCAGAUGAAAAUAUUUAGGGGCCCACAGAGAUUAACAUUCUUACCAAAGGAUGAGAAGUUAGUGGAGAAACAAGAUUUAAAUGCAGAUACCUUGACUUCAAAUCAAAUGUAUUCCAUUUCCUUUACUGUAUUCUUCUACAUGUUUUAGUAAGCCAAAUAAGGCCCAUAUUGAUUGUCACAGUCCUAUAGUUCCAAAUCUGUAUUCUCUCUCUCUCUUUUUUUUUUUUUUUUCAGUUGUUUUUUUACCUGGUCAUCAUCUGAGUUGCUUGAGAAGGUUAGCAUUUUUCUCUAUUUUACUGUUCCUUAGUAACAGACACAACUAAUAAUACACAAAUAAUCUUGCAAUGCUAGGGGGAAUUACUGUUUAUAAGAAGCACAUAAUCUCCUCUAAAAACUGAAUAUUAAUAAAUGAAAAUAACCAUGACUCAAUUUAGGUCAGAUUUGUUUAUAUCCUGUUUAUAUGCUUCCUACAAAAAGAACAUGACUAUAGUCUAUUUUUCAUUCCUAAAAGAAAUCUUAAAUCUUGCAAAUGUUCAAAUGUUAAGAUCUAUUAAAAAAUUGUUAUGUCUGACAAAAUCUUAUAGUUAAAUGUAAGUUGCAUUUGGUGUUAUUUAAUUAUCAUUCAGGUGACCAGGAAAUUCUACGGAGAUGAGAGGAAUAUAUAAAAUGAAAAUUAGAGACAGCUUUUAAUAUUGAUUCCAAGUUAAAUCUUAGUAAAGGAUAAUUUGGCUUUUUUGAUACUAGAAGCAACAGUUUAGUUCAAUCUCUAUCCAAAUAGAAAUUUAAUAGUGCUUAUUUCAUGCUCAUAUGGUCAGAUUUUUGGUCUAAUUUGUUUGUAAUGAGUUAGAGUAACUGAUAUGCUAAUCAAUGUUAGUUAAUUAAAAGUGGAGUUUCCAUUUAGUUACAAAACACAUUAGGGUGCUGAGCAUAUUGCAUGCUAGAUGACCUGAUUCACACAUUUGAACUUCUAAAAUGAGAAGGAGUGGUAGAAAAUCUUUUUGAUGUGUUGCCAGAAGUGCCACUCAGAUCCUUCUGGAAACAGAUUUAGCCUGAGGAUGAGAAGACUUGAAUUCUAAUCCUUGCUCCACUGCCUUUUUACCCUGAAGCUUGAGUAUCAUCUCUUAAAUUCUCAAAAACUCAUAUUUCCAAGACCAAAAAAUGGAAUAGGAUUAGAUAAUGUCUAUGCACACUUUCUUGUGAUUCCUUGUUCAAAAUUCAAAAGUAAAUGAGGGUGUUAACUCUCUGCUCAGCCAUUUUCUAGCUCUGUAAUUUUAGGCAAAAUCCUCAAUCUUUUUGAUCUUUGUAAUUGAGAUGAAAUGAGGAAAAGCAUGGUACUCACACUGCAUUCAUGCUCAAAUAAAGUUUACUGUGGUGAUUAAAAAAAAGAUAGAGUGUAUGGACUUUACAAAUACUAUAAAAUUAUAUCAAACUUCUAAAAAUAUAAGUAGAUUUUAAAAAAAGAAAAAAUCUAUAAGUAUAGGCACUGAAACAUACUCUAGUGAAGCUUUCAGCAAACCCUUAUUUACAGAGUUCCAUUAGUAGGUGUUAAUUAAACAUGUAUUUCAUGUUUGACUAAGUUUUGGGAAAAGAUCAGUUAAAACUAUCAACAGAAAUUAGAGACUCUUAGAGCUUUCAGAAUAUUAGCAUGUACAGUGAAUCUUCAAGACUAUCCCCAGAUAUUUAUUUUUGCUUCUUUGUUUUUUAACCUUAUUGCAGGUAGGGAAUGGAGGUUUGGAAAUUGUACAGAACUAGUGUUCUAUGGAAUAAGCUUUAGGAAGCAAUGAAGUGAAGAAAAUAACUGAAGAUUUGUAUCAUAGACACCUGGGUGGAAUCUCACUCCUACCACUUAACUAUGUCACUUAAAUUAACCUUGUGUGACUGGGAGUGGUGAAGAUAAUUCCUAUUUUGAAGAUUAUCCACCUUGGUUUGAAAGUGAGGAACAAUAUAUGUAAAGCUAUCAGCUUGGGAUAAAGACUCAAUAAAUUGAUGAUGAUGAUAGGAUUGAUUCCAGGCACCCUAGCAAAGCAUCACCUUCCUCCUGUGGAACCACAAAACCGAGGAAUCUGUGCAUCUUCUCCUGUUCACUAUUUGAAAUCCAUUUGUUGUAAAACAUCAAAGAGUGAUUCCCAUAUGUGGAACAUUGUGGAAGAAAUCUGUUGUUGAUUGCUUCCUCCUUGAAACAGAAUUACGAGAAAACAGGAUGGAAAGCUAAGGGGAGCUUGAUGCCCCAGAAGAAGGAAUCUGAAAUAAGAUUGAGGGGGUGGGCAGGAUACACUUCCUGAGGUUAAUGCUAUUAGAAGUUAACUAAUUUUUUCUGGAGGAUGGAUAUCAUUUGCAGUAAAGCAUCUACCAACUGUUAUAAAAUAUCAGGAUAUCUCGACCUGUCAUUGAAACAAACCAAUAAGAACAGGCCAUUUCCUGCAGGGGGCAUGAUUAAAACCAG
rnacentral:lncRNA from 1 species